GAUGAACGCUGGCGGCGUGCCUCAAACAUGCAAGUCGAGCGGGGCUAUGUAAUAUCGCAAGGUAGAACAUAGCCUAGCGGCGAACGGGUGAGUAACACGUGGGUAACCUGCCUGGAAGACAGGGAUAACGAUUCGAAAGGGUCGCUAAUACCUGAUAAUAUCCUUUCAUCGCAUGGUGAUAGGAAGAAAGGGGAAACCCGCUUUCAGAUGGGCCCGCGUCCCAUCAGCUAGUUGGUAAGGUAAAGGCUUACCAAGGCGACGACGGGUAGCCGGUCUGAGAGGAUGUACGGCCACACUGGGACUGAGAUACGGCCCAGACUCCUACGGGAGGCAGCAGUUGGGAAUCUUAGGCAAUGGACGAAAGUCUGACCUAGCGGCGCCGCGUGAGGGAAGAAGGCCUUCGGGUUGUAAACCUCUGUCAUGGGGAAGAAGUAAGUGACGGUACCCCAAGAGGAAGCCCCUGCUAACUACGUG
rnacentral:rRNA from 1 species